CGCCAGACUCCUACGGGAGGCAGCAGUGGGGAAUAUUGCACAAUGGGGGAAACCCUGAUGCAGCAACGCCGCGUGAGUGAAGAAGUAUUUCGGUAUGUAAAGCUCUAUCAGCAGGGAAGAAAAUGACGGUACCUGAGUAAGAAGCCCCGGCUAACUACGUGCCAGCAGCCGCGGUAAUACGUAGGGGGCAAGCGUUAUCCGGAUUUACUGGGUGUAAAGGGAGCGUAGACGGCGAUGCAAGUCUGAAGUGAAAGCCCGGGGCUCAACCCCGGGACUGCUUUGGAAACUGUAUGGCUGGAGUGCUGGAGAGGCAAGCGGAAUUCCUAGUGUAGCGGUGAAAUGCGUAGAUAUUAGGAGGAACACCAGUGGCGAAGGCGGCUUACUGGACGGUAACUGACGUUGAGGCUCGAAAGCGUGGGGAGCAAACAGGAUUAGAUACCCCAGUACU
rnacentral:rRNA from 1 species